GUUUGAUAAGAGAAGGACUAAAAAUGCCGCAAAAGGCAUAUGACACAAACAUUUAAGUUGGUGGUGUCCAGCUGCCAGCUCUCCCUUCUACUGCGCCGAGCCCCUGAAUGUUUCCCGGAGUGCCAGCUCUGAGCGCUGCCAGCGGAACACAACAAUACCGGGCGUGCGAGGCAGAGGAAACAGGGACACAGACCAGGAGAGAGAGGGCUGGUCGAGAGAGGGUGCAUAUUAAUUUUGACUCGCCCCCUCUCCCUCGCUCCAUUGCUCACACACACACACACACCACACACACACACACACACACACUCUCUCUCUCUC
ensembl:lncRNA